CCAUUUUCUAACAACAACAGCUGCGUCGUUUUCUGAAAACUUUUAUGGAUUAAAAAGGAUUGUUGAUAAGGAGUCUGGACAGAAUAGCAACUCAUUAACAUUACCAUGGAAACAACAUAUCCUUUCCAUGUUUUACCUUGUGGUUUUGCCAUAUAUAAAAAUAAAAAUGGAUAAAUUGUUCCAAGUUACUAAAG